rnacentral:pre_miRNA from 11 species
UGUUGGCGGGUGCUCUGACUUCAUUGCACUACUGUUUGAACACAGCUAGCAGUGCAAUAGUAUUGUCAAAGCAUCUGAAAACUGC